rnacentral:rRNA from 1 species
UACGUAGGGGGCAAGCGUUGUUCGGAUUUAUUGGGCGUAAAGAGCGUGUAGGCGGUUUGGUAGGUCCGCUGUGAAAACUCGAGGCUCAACCUCGAGACGCCGGUGGAAACCAUCAGACUAGAGUCCGGAAGAGGAGAGUGGAAUUCCUGGUGUAGCGGUGAAAUGCGCAGAUAUCAGGAAGAACACCCGUGGCUAAGGCGGCUCUCUAGUACGGUACUGACGCUGAGACGCGAAAGCGUGGGGAGCGAACAGG